UACGUAGGGGGCAAGCGUUGUCCGGAAUCAUUGGGCGUAAAGCGCGUGUAGGCGGCUCGAUAAGUCUGCUGUGAAAGUCCAGGGCUCAACCCUGGAAUGCCGGUGGAAACUGUCGAGCUAGAGUCCGGAAGAGGCGAGUGGAAUUCCUGGUGUAGCGGUGAAAUGCGCAGAUAUCAGGAGGAACACCAAUGGCGAAGGCAGCUCGCUGGGACGGUACUGACGCUGAGACGCGAAAGCGUGGGGAGCAAGCAGG
rnacentral:rRNA from 1 species